GGAGCAACCGGCGGUGGUCUCAUGGGGUACAGACAGACAGCUCGGAAAGCGGCAAGUGGCCGCUGCCCACCUCCACCCUACCUCUCUCUCUCUCUUCCACCUCGUUGGCUUCUGGCGAGCUAGCUAGUGCGGUGGGAGUAUGGCAGAGUGUGAAAGGGAGCAGAGAGAGUAGCAGGUGGAGGUGGGAGGGAGAGGAGAGGAGAGGAGAGGAGGAGGAAGAGGUCAUAAAUGGAG
rnacentral:lncRNA from 1 species